rnacentral:rRNA from 1 species
GAUGAACGCUGGCGGUAUGCUUAACACAUGCAAGUCGAACGGACUCUUCGGAGUUAGUGGCGGACGGGUGAGUAACGCGUGAGAAUCUGGCUUUGGGUUCGGGACAACCACUGGAAACGGUGGCUAAUACCGGAUGUGCCGAUAGGUAAUAGAGGAAUGGCCUGCAGAUUAGCUCGCGUCUGAUUAGCUAGUUGGGGAGUUAAAGCCCCACCAAUCCAGAGAUUGGUAGCUGGUGGGAGAGGAUGACCAGCCACACGGGGACAGAGACACGGCCCAGACUCCUGCGGGAGGCAGCAGUGGGGAAUUUUACGAAAGGGGCGAAAGCCUGACGGAGAAAUAGCGCGUGAGAGAAGAAGGCUCGUGGGUUGUAAACCUCUUGCCUGAGGGAAGAAGAAAAUGACGGUACCGAAUGAAUCAGCACCGGCUAACUCCGUG